AUGGCUCAGGAUUAACGCUGGCGGCGUGCCUAAUACAUGCAAGUCGAAUGGUAGUAGCAAAUACAAACCAUGGCGAACGGGUGAGUAACACGUAGGCAACCUGACUUAAGACGAGGAUAACCGUUGGAAACGACGGAUAAUACUGGAUAGGACAUCACAAAGGGCAUCCUUAGAUGUUUAAAGGUUAUCAUGCCACUUAGAGAGGGGCCUGCGGCGCAUUAGCUAGUUGGUGAGAUAACAGCCCACCAAGGCGAUGAUGCGUAGCCGGACUGAGAGGUUGAACGGCCACAAUGGAACUGAGAACGGUCCAUACUCCUACGGGAGGCAGCAGUGAGGAAUAUUGGUCAAUGGGCGCGAGCCUGAACCAGCCAAGUAGCGUGCAAGGAUGACGGCCCUAUGGGUUGUAAACUGCUUUUAUGCGGGGAUAAAGUGCACCACGUGUGGUGUUUUGUAGGUACCGCAUGAAUAAGGACCGGCUAAUUCCGUGCCAGCAGCCGC
rnacentral:rRNA from 1 species